UUAGUUGACGGAAUUGUGGCGG
rnacentral:siRNA from 1 species